rnacentral:rRNA from 1 species
AUUGAACGCUGGCGGCAGGCCUAACACAUGCAAGUCGAACGAGUAGCGGACUGGUGAGUGAUUUCUUGGAACCUGGGUGAUGUAGGGAGAUAACUGCUGGAAACGGUAGCUAAUACCGCAUAACAUCGUAUGUGCCCAGACGGGAUUAGCUAGUAGGUGAGGUAACGGCUCACCUAGGCGAAGAUCCCUAGCUGGUCUGAGAGGAUGACCAGCCACACUGGAACUGAGACACGGUCCAGACUCCUACGUGAGGCAGCAGUGGGAAAUCUUGCACAAUGGGCGCAAGCCUGAUGCAGCCAUGCCGCGUGUAAGAAGAAGGCCUUCGGGUUGUAAAGUACUUUCAGCGGGGAGGCGUUACCCGCAGAAGAAGCACCGGCUAACUCCGUGCCAGCAGCCGCGGUAAUAC